rnacentral:rRNA from 1 species
GGGGAAUAUUGCACAAUGGGCGGAAGCCUGAUGCAGCGACGCCGCGUGAGGGAUGAAGGCCUUCGGGUUGUAAACCUCUUUCAGCAGGGACGAAGCGUGAGUGACGGUACCUGCAGAAGAAGCACCGGCUAACUACGUGCCAGCAGCCGCGGUAAUACGUAGGGUGCGAGCGUUGUCCGGAAUUACUGGGCGUAAAGAGUUCGUAGGCGGUUUGUCGCGUCGUUUGUGAAAACCCGGGGCUCAACUUCGGGCUUGCAGGCGAUACGGGCAGACUUGAGUGUUUCAGGGGAGACUGGAAUUCCUGGUGUAGCGGUGAAAUGCGCAGAUAUCAGGAGGAACACCGGUGGCGAAGGCGGGUCUCUGGGAAACAACUGACGCUGAGGAACGAAAGCGUGGGUAGCAAAC